rnacentral:lncRNA from 1 species
UGCAAAAGUAGCUGUUUGAAAUGUAGAGAGAUCCCCACAAUUUACAAAUUUUAAAAGGCUGAUAAAACAAGCCAUAAUGAAAUGCAGAAAAAUAACAGUAGUUGAUUAAUUAGCUGCCCAACAUGAUCAUUAUCCAUAGAGAGAAUAGAAAGAUUCAAUUUUGAUUGUUAAGGGUUUUUCUGUUUGCUUGUUUGUUUUGUUUUCUUGUUUCUUCUCCAUUUUCCACAUACUUCCUGUGCUGAAGACACAAGCCAAGUUCACACAUGCAACCCAGGCUGUGGCUCUGUACAUUUGCAUCAGGAUGUAGGUGAGUGGGGACCGGGAGCAGAAUGUUCCUGGAAGCUGUUCCUCCAGUGGGACAGCUGGUGACAACUUUUCCAGAAGAGACUGUGAGCCAGCCCCACAAACAUAUCCCACUAAACUCGAGCUGAGUUAUGUCCCCAGCCCAAAUUCCUCUUAGCUGGUCCCCCAAAUGCCCAGCUCUACCCAACACUGCAGCAAGUUUGAGGAAAGGAAGACAGCAUAGUUCUAACUCACUAAGAAAACAAUCUAUUAACCUCGUAUUGUUUUCCAUUUGUGUACAUUUUCUAAAAGCACAGACCAUACACUCACAUUGCUAGGCCCUGAAGGGCCCUGUCCAAAUGAGGAGCCUGAGGCUUAGCUCCUACCAGCUCUGUGGUAAACACUUGACUGUGUUUUAGAGCCCGGCAGAGGGCUUUGAAUCCUCACUGUGCCGCUAGGCAGCUAUGCAGCCAUGAAGGAAGUGAACACUGGUUCUCCUGAGCAGCCCGUUCUGCAACUCUACAUUAGAAAUGAUGUCUGUCUUUCACUGGGGUGCAUGAGGAUUGAGGAAAUGUGCAUAAGAGGCUUAGCCUGACACACAAGGGUGUCCACUGUGAGUGGCAGCACAGGCUCACUUUUCAGGGACACAGUCAGUCCCUGCCAGCGCUUGCACAGCUGGUGAAGAUGGACCAGAGUCUUGGCCUGGCCUAACUCUUGCAAGACUUCUUGCAAGAUCAGUGCCCUGCCUGAGUGCCCUGAUGCCAGCUCCACAGGAGGACCUCUGGUGGCCAAGAACAGGAGGAAAGAAAGGAGAGAGAAGCAGUGGCCACACACAGCAGGACCUUACGGACUCCAGCUGACCAGGAGUCCAUGAUGCAGGGUGGCAGAGCUGACACUGCCCAUCAUGUUGGCCUCUUUCAACAUGAUGCUACUGAAGUGUUACCGUUCAUCCUGCCCAUCUCCAAAGCUCCAUGACUGCUUGUCCCAGGCUCCAGGUCUCUCCCAGAUCUGCAUGCAGUUGGAACUUGUUUCAUAUCUUCAAUAUUCAUCAGAAGGUCAAAAGACAUGAUUACAAGAGUGAGAAGGUGAACCUCAGAGUACGAGAAGACACUGGCCACAUGAAUCACCAAGACUUUUAUCCAGAACUGAUAAAGAACUCCAAAACAACAACAACAAAAAAUAUUGGCUGACAUCGCUAAUCCAAAAAUCCAAAAUUCAAAAUGCUCCAAAAUCUAAAACUAUCUGAGAGCCUAUUUGAUGCCCCAAGUGGAAAAUUCCACACCAGGAAACUUUAUUUCAUGCACAAAAUUAUUCAAAAUACUGUAUAGAAUCACCUCCAGUGUAUGUGUGUAAGGUAUGGAUGAAACUUAAAAGAAUCCCAUGUUUAGACUUGGAUCUCAUCCCCAAGAUAUCUCAUUAUGUACAUGCAAAUAUUCCAAAAUCCAAAGAAAUAUCCAAAAUCUGAAACACUUCUGGUCCCAAGCAUUUCAAAUAAGGGCUACUCAACCUGUGCAACCAGAUGGAAAAAUAGCAAAGACAAAAAUAAAAUCCUACAAAACAAAC